AGAACACAAAUUAAGCCAAAACUAGUUCAUUGCAACCCAAAAAUACUAUAGGGCGUCUUUAAAGAAUUUAUGGUGUAAACAACAGUUACUUAAUUUAUUCGGUUUAUGAACAUUUCCAAAACAAAAACGAGUCCAGCCAAUGUUAAGCCAAUAGCCCAAAGAGCGAAUGCAUAGUAAAAGAAUUCCAAAUCGAAUCACUCAUCAUCUUUGCGAAAAUGCCACACUCAAAAAUACGUCUCAUAUAGACAUUCAACAUGUUGAGGUAAGGUAAGGAUGGUGCCACUGGAAAAGCCAUAAGUCCAGUCAUAAAGCUCUCUGGUAUUUUCUUAAAACGAGGCACUUUCAGUAAGUGUUGUUGGUACAAAAUUCCUUCCAUUCGAUCUUCGUAAGCAACAUACAUGAAGCUAGAAUUCAUUCCAAUGCGAGCUGCAUUAAGGACCGCAGUUUAUGUAGUUGUCAUCCACGAGCAGUGGAUAUGGAGAAUGUUUCAGAUCUUGGAGUGUAUUGAGUUGUGGUUCAAAUAAUCCAGAUGUGAGCAUGCUCGAUAGCAUCGCUAGAUACAAGUUGGUCAAAAUAAAUCCUCCAAGAAUCAUAAUGAUGUGAAUCAUCAUCUGUUGCCAAUUAAAUAUAUUAAGUCGUGGCUGUGAUAGGAAUAAAAUGUAGCACAAGCUACUCAGAAAGUCUACCCCAAGCUCCGAUCUUACAGAUCCAUAGCUGACAUAGAGUAUUACCGUAACAUAUCCCAUUGUAGCAAGCACUGCCAACCAUAAAGUCCAAGUGAAAGGUCGUCCAAAGUACAAAUAGCUGGCAAUGGGUCGAGCAUAAGGUACCAUAACAUAUUUCUUUAGUAGAUAAAGCGGAGUUGUACUGGAUAUUGUCCAAGUUACUUCCUUGGGAUAACAAGUGAAAUCCAUUUCCUUGUUGAGUAUCAUAGCAAAAGCUUGACGAAAUGCACCAACCGAAUUCAUUGGUGGUAAGAAUUCCAAAGUGGCAUUGUGACGACGGAUAAAUUCCAAAAAUGCUUUGUAAAUAUAUCCAGAAUGAACGAGUUGUCCUCUGCGAUUCACAUAUUGAAUCUUGCGUGGCUCCGUCACAUCAGACAUUGUAUGAAUCGUAUAUUGAUGGAAGUUUUGUAGGAGAUGCCGUCUGUUAAAGUAAUCGUCUAGCUUUGACAAUUUAAGAGUAUUGAUUUCUGGAUAUGGAUUGUAGCUAUACAGUGAGAGGGUUCGAUUCAGUGAAUAGACUAGCAACGUAUUGAUGAAGCCUUGUCGAUAACAAUAUCUGAAGAGAUCCUUCUGCCAGCUGUUUGGAUGUUGCUCUGUAAUAAAAACUAUGUGAAGUUCGUGGAGUUCCUUGAGCAGGAAAGGUAAAAAUUUCUCGACAGCUUCUACAAUUGGUUUUCGUUUUAUAUGAACAAUAACUAAAGCGUUGCGAGGAAAGUUUCCAAUUAAUCUAAAUUUAUAAAAACUGGACACUGAAAGAUUUAAAUGAAUUG